UGCUGCCUGUUUUGAUUUGGAAACUACUC
rnacentral:piRNA from 1 species